UCGUCGGGAUAGCUCAGCUGGUAGAGCAGAGGACUGAAAAUCCUCGUGUCACCAGUCAAA
rnacentral:tRNA from 1 species